GUGAGUCAUCGAAUCUUUGAACGCACCUUGCGCCCCUUGGUAUUCCGAGGGGCAUGCCUGUUUGAGUGUCAUUAAAUUCUCAACCUCAUAAGCUUUUGUUUAUUGAGGAUUGGAUGUGAGGGUUGCUGGCUUGUAACAGAGUUCAGCUCCCUUGAAAUGUAUUAGUGGACUUAGCCGUUUGUGGGCCACAUUGGUGUGAUAAUUAUCUACGCCUUUAUGGUUUGCAGCUUGGGAGGUUGCAAUGUAACAGUUGCUCUUCCUGUUGUCAAGUGCUGUCCGCUUCGAACCGUCCUAAGUUAU
rnacentral:misc_RNA from 1 species